GACGAACGCUGGCGGCGUGCCUAAUACAUGCAAGUCGAGCGCAGGAAGUCAUCCGAACCCUUCGGGGGGACGUUGACGGAAUGAGCGGCGGACGGGUGAGUAACACGUAAAGAACCUGCCCUCAGGUCUGGGAUAACCACGAGAAAUCGGGGCUAAUACCGGAUGGGUCAUCGGACCGCAUGGUCCGAGGAUGAAAGGCGCUCCGGCGUCGCCUGGGGAUGGCUUUGCGGUGCAUUAGCUAGUUGGUGGGGUAACGGCCCACCAAGGCGACGAUGCAUAGCCGACCUGAGAGGGUGAUCGGCCACACUGGGACUGAGACACGGCCCAGACUCCUACGGGAGGCAGCAGUAGGGAAUCUUCCACAAUGGACGAAAGUCUGAUGGAGCAACGCCGCGUGAACGAUGAAGGCCCUCGGGUCGUAAAGUUCUGUUGUAAGGGAAGAACAAGUGCCGCAGGCAAUGGCGGCACCUUGACGGUACCUUGCGAGAAAGCCACGGCUAACUACGUG
rnacentral:rRNA from 1 species